rnacentral:rRNA from 1 species
GCAUAACGCGAAGAACCUUACUUAAACUUGACAUCCCUCGGACCGCUCCUUAAUCGGAGCUUUCCCUUCGGGGACUGAGAUGACAGGUGGUGCAUGGUUGUCGUCAGCUCGUGUCGUGAGAUGUUGGGUUAAGUCCCGCAACGAGCGCAACCCUUGCCUUUAGUUGCCAUCAUUAAGUUGGGCACUCUAGAGGGACUGCCGAGGAUAACUCAGAGGAAGGUGGGGAUGACGUCAAAUCAUCAUGCCCCUUAUGUUUAGGGCUACACACGUGCUACAAUGGCUGGUACAGAGGGCUGCGAAACCGUGAGGUUAAGCCAAUCCCUUAAAGCCAGUCUCAGUUCGGAUUGUAGGCUGAAACUCGCCUACAUGAAGCUGGAGUUGCUAGUAAUCGCGGAUCAGAAUGCCGCGGUGAAUGCGUUCCCGGGUCUUGUACACACCG